GCCUUCGUGGUGUAGCGGUAGCACUCUCGACGCGUAUUCGAGAGGUCUAGGUUCGAGUCCAGGCGAAGGCA
rnacentral:tRNA from 1 species